AAACAAAACUCCCAUGUUACCCCUAGUUUAACAUCAAAACAACUCUCCCCUUCUGCUGAGAACGAACUGAAGAGCUGAGAACGAAGUGAAGAGCUGCGAACGAAUGAACAAAGUGAAGAGCUGAGAAGGAAUUAGCUGAGAACACUCCUUCUGUUCUGCGAUUUGUGAGAAAUAGCUGGUAAAGAGAAGUGAAGCGUUGAAGUCAAAGAAGAACUGAGCUGAAUAGUUGAAGAUUUGAAGUCACUGAUAGUUCAAGUCAUCUCUUUGAUAACGAUUUCUUGAAGAAUCAAUUUUUCAAGGUUUGUUCGAGUUCGAGAUUCUGCCCGAAAUUCUCAUGUUUCGUUAGUGUUCGAGUUUCGUGCUGAAGAUCGUUUCCUUGCUCCUCUCUUUCCAGUUCAGUGGCCGCAAAAAGUAUAAUCAAAAAACAUCUAUGGAGGAUUCAAUGUUUGAUUUCAACUAAAACAAGUACCACCACUAGGCAGUGGGCAUUAGAGGCAGAUCACUGAACUCUACAAUUUGAAGUCGCUCCUUUUUUUGUCUCUGUCCCAAGUUCCUCGCUCCGAGGGAGAUACAUCUCUUUACCUAUUAAUUUUCCUUAUUUGAAUAGUUUGUUUUAGAUUAUAAUUGAUUCUCUACUCGACAAUGAACUCGUAAUAAUCGUACAGAGAAAUUGCUGGAAUAUGUGGUAGUAUGCGUUUAUAAACAUGGAAAUUCUAGGCUAAAUGCAUGGCACUUUUCGAUUGCUAGUUAUAGUUUACUGAUUCUUAGUGAGCUAGAGAAUUAUUGAAGAGUGCUUAUAAUUGUUCUUGCAUAUAAUGAUGCAUGUUUGACAGUUAGUUCAAGUGUAUGUUCAAAGCAAAUUAAGCCAGUUGAUUGAUAUUUUUUUUUCAUUUAGUUGUUUUAGGUGUGCUUUUUAAUCUAUACUAUCACAUUGCACCUUUUGAUAGAUGAGGGAAGUGUGAAAAGCUAUGGAUGUCAUGCAGGUAUAUGGGUUGAAUACCAUCUAUCCAACUGAAUGUAUUUUCUGAUUUUAUAUUUCAAGAAAUAUUUGGUUUUUGACCUUAUUAUAUACAUGAAUACUUAAGAUUUCUCAAACAAAUAACUUUUCUACCGUAGGAGUUAGUCCUAUUUUGACACAGUUUGUUAAUAAUGGUAUUACUUGUAUGAACAUUGUAGGUUUUGAUUCCACCGUUUUGGAUAAUAUGGUGCGAAACACUAUAUUACAUAUUGUAGCCUGUCAUUGCUUCAUUAUCCAAAAAUUAGUGAAACAUGAAGUCUGAGCUACUGCAUUUCUUGGGUUUUAGUGGUCUUGAUUUGAGAUUACAGUUUGCUUUGUGAUGUCGGUAGUUCAUUGGAAAAGACAUUUUCUGUUUCCUUAAUUUGAGAGAUCUAUGCGAUGGAAAAGUUUUCUUGAAAAAAGAAACACAUAGGGGUUUCAGAGUAUUUAAU